rnacentral:lncRNA from 1 species
GAUUCUUACUGUGACUCUCAGCAGUUGGAGAUUGAGCUCCCCUGCCCUCUGAAGGCUUCUUAUCUGCCCUAUUGAUAAAAUUAAACUAGGGUGGAGCUGGAUGUGCCCUGAGGCCAAAACCUCGAGAAGGGGUUUGGGGCAAGAUGGAGAGUUUUAGUUGGGACUAGGCUGCCCUCUCCACUUCUGCUUUAGCCACUCUGAGACUGCCACACAUGUGGAAGCAAGGCAGUGCCUCCAGGCUGGAACCCUCUGGAGAUUCCAGCUAUCACCAGAGACUCAGCACAUUACUCCCUGAGGGCAAACAGAGAAACCACCUGAGAGAGAGCCUGUUUUUUAAGACAAUCCAAGCUGAACUUGUAUUUAUCCACCAUUAUUCUUCUUAUCUUCAUGUGCUCCAUCCAGUGGAAGACCAUGCAACAGAUGGUCCUGCCAGAACUAAGAGAACAAUAUAUAUGACAACAUUAUAGAGAAAAAUAAUUGAAAGUCUUUGGAACUAACUCUGGCCAAAGUAAACUGAGUAUAGAAAACUAAACAUGAAACCCACCACUCAUCUCCUGCUAAAAAGAUGAUGGACUUAGAUUGCAGAUGGAGACAUGCAUUUGGACAUGGUCAAUAUGGUCAUUUGUUUUGCUAGAUUGUCUAUUUGGUACGAGAGUUUAAGAUUUCAUUUGUGAUUAUUUGACUGAGUGAGAUGAUGGGAG